rnacentral:rRNA from 1 species
UACGAAGGGGGCUAGCGUUGUUCGGAAUCACUGGGCGUAAAGCGUCUCGGUAGGACGGAUCUUUAAGUCAGGGGUGAAAUCCCGAGGCUCAACCUCGGAAACGUCGCCUUUGAUACUGGGGAUCUCGAGUCCGGGAGAGGUGGAGUGGAACUGCGAGUGUAGAGGUGAAAUUCGUAGAUAUUCGCAAGAACACCAGUGGCGAAGGCGGACUCACUGGCCCGGUACUGACGCUGAGGAGCGAAAGCGUGGGGAGCAAACAGGG